GGUCGGACGCGCCCGAGCGAGGGAGCGGAGGCGACUCGGCCGCCAUGUUAGGAGUGCCGGGAGGACUCCGCGGAGCCGCCCGGAGGUUCAGGGAGCGCGGGAUCCGAGUGGUGGUGCGGUGGGGACGGUUUGGGCCUUCACUUAUUUCUCAUACGGAAGUGAUUUGCAAAGGUCUUAAAAGAAACCGUUAUUGGAAGAGUCUGUCUACACUAUGGAAAGAUGGGAAAUUUCAUUUCCUGCUGAGGGUGUCUCAAGGGUUAAAGAAAAUGCUGUUAUCUGUGCUUCCCCCACCUACUUCUCCCUUUUGCACUUUAUUCUGAGAACAGAAUUGACUGUGGUUUGGGGGGGUUAGUGGAGGUAUGCACUAUAUCUCUAUUAGGACAUAAUAAAAUUAGAGCAGAUAGUUUCUCCUAUUAAAAAAAAAAAAAGGCUAGUCAGAGUGAUUUAAAAUGACCAAAACAGGCAGAAACAGUCUUUCAGAUGUAUGCAGAUGAUAAUUAUAAAAACAGAAUUUGAAAGACUCAACAUAUGUCAUGUUCCUGGGAACAAGCCACAAGAUGAGUCACUUUGUUUCAUUCUUACACAAAGGUAAAUUGUUGGUGUCAUUUAUCCAUGAAUACAACCAUGUACAAGGCUCAUACAAAUAGUAUGUUAUUCAGAAACACUUUUGCAAAUACUGAUGGUAAGUAGUUGGAAAGAAGCAAAUGCUUACUUUUUUUUUUUCUGACCUCUGGCUUACCUUAGAAAUGUUUUGAGCUAAUAAAUCUUGUGCAUUUUAUAAGACAGUUAUGUAAGCAACAGCCUUAGUUUGAGUUACUGUGAAAGGCCAGUAUAUAGUGGGGAAAGGAACAGAAUGCUCAAAAAUCUUACGUGUGAAAAAUAAGAGUGAUAUCUUUUUAAGUUUAAAGUUUUUAAGUUUAAAGUUGUUCAUCUGAACAUCUGGCCAUACGUGAAACGAAUGUAUUUAGUAUCCUUAAAAUUGUCCGUGAUUUAAUUCUUUUUUUUUUUUCUUUUAAACUUUUUUUUUUUUUAGUUGUAGUUGGACACAGUGCCUUUAUUUUAUUUAUUGCUGUGUGAUGCUAAGGAUCGAACCCAGCGCCUCGCACAUGCUAGGUAGCACUCCAUUACUGAGCCACAAUCCCAGCCCCUCCAUGAUGUAAUUCUUACUUUGAUGAGGGGGGAAAAAUUCCACACUCCUGUUUAGAAAUUUGAUUUACAAAUUAAUAUCUGUGGGUCUGUGAUGCUAGCUUCUGAAAGAAUAGCCUGAGGAAAAUAUUGAAUUAGAAAAACAUUUUAAAAUUGGAAUUAGGAAAGAGAUAAACUACAUUCAAGUAUCAUAGGUAGCACAUUUAAGAGUAUUGAGUCAGUUGCAUUUAGAGCAGAGGUUUUUUUCAACAAGGAUAAGUGUCAGGAUUGCCUAUAAAAAUCUAAAAAUAUAUUACUACUGCCCAUCCAUCCCUGUUGAAUUGGAACCAACUAUUGAGUAUUUUUAGAACUUUAUAAGUGUGACUACAGGGCUUGGGUGGAGUAGUCUUCUGCAUCCUGUAUUUGUGUUUUUGUAUUAUCUAAAGCAAGGAAUAACAAAAAGAUUUUGGCAAAAACUAGUUAAUUGCUGAUUUUAUCCAUGUGAUUUCUGAAAGUGUAGAUGAGGGAUUCACCUGGUGAUCAACUUAAACAUGGCAUUUGGGAAGCAAAUGCAGCUGAAAUUGGGGAGAAGAAAUCAAUGUUAACCUUAAAAGUACUGCCAUAUCAUCACUUACCUAGAUGUUUCUGAGAGUGAAGGUUUAGCCUAAUCCUAACAAAGCCUAAUAAUAAGAGACACCCAGUAAUAGCACAAUGCCAGUAAGAGCUCAUUGCCAUGAUAAAAUCAUGGUAGUUAUUCAGAAAGAGGCAACAUGAUAUUUUGGUUUGGGGAAUUUUCUGGAAAUAACAACCCUUUGCCCUAAAUCUAGAAUUUUUUUAGAUUAUUGAUAUUGUAACGUUCUUGAUAUUUGAGUAUCUAAAGUCAUAUAGGCCCCUUUUUAGAAAUGAGAAAUCUUACAGAUCGUCUAAGACAUGUUCUACAGAAGAGGAAAUGGACACAGUAAAUUUUAAAAUUACUAGUGGUCACACUGCACGCUAGUGGUAAGACGCAUAGCUAAAGGUGAAAUCCAGUUCCUUCCAUCUUUAGUGCUAUGCGCAUUUUUUUUAAGCUCCAGAUUUUUUUCCCCUAUGAUACUCGAGGGUUUAUACAUUUCAGUAUAUAUUUGAUUUUAGUGUUGGAAUCUCAGACAAUUUAAAAAAUUGUAAAAUAGAAGAAAUGUUUAUUUUUUAGGUUUGUUGUCUUGUGAUGGGGUCUUGUUAUGUUCCAUGCUGACCUGGAACUUCUGGGUUCCAGCCAAGCUAUCCUCCCACUUCGAUGUCCUAGAGUCACUGGGAAUACAGACAUGUUCCUGGUGCCUGGCUUCUGCAAAUUCUUUGGUUCACUGAAUUUGUCUACAGUCUUUACAUUCAAAGUCCAGUUACAUUCUUUUCAUCCAUAUUUGCUGAUGAUUAAGAUAAGACCUAAGAGAAUAAGCAGUUUAAAUGUUUAAAUUAAUCGCAGGAUUUAAACAAACUUUAAUACAUCUUUAGAGGAGGGAGGUACAUUUGGAGAUACUAUUAGCCUGAAUUCCUACUGUUUUAGUUUGAAGUCCAUUUUUUUAUUUUUAGUUGUAGAUAGACACAAUACUUUUGUUGGGGAGGGGGUUAAUUUUUUUUUUUUUAUUUUAGAUGUUCAUGGACCUUUAUUUUAAUGUGGUGCUGAGAAUUGAACCCAGUGCCUCACACAUGCUAGGCAAGCACUGUACCCAUGUGGUGCUGAAGAUCAAACCCAGUCCCUUUCAUGUGCUAGGCAAGUGCUCUACCACUGAGCUAUAGCCCCAGCCCUUGAAGUCCAUUUUUAAUGGUUUGCUUUUAUCACAAAAAAAAAUUUAUAACAUUCUAGGGCUGGAUUUGUGGCACAGUGGUAGAGCACUCGCCUUGCACAGGUGAGGUACUAGGUUCAAUCCUCAGCACCACAUAAAAAUAAAUUUUUAAAAAUUUCUAUAACAAAGCCUUGACAAUAGAUAAUAGCAGGGGUGUUGAUGAAAGUUCAGUGAAAUAGGACUGGAGUUGUAGCUUGGUGGUAAUACGCUUACCUAGCAUAUGUGAGACACUGGGUUUGAUUCUCAGCACCAUAUAUAAAUAAAUAAAGAUCCAUUAACAACUAAAAAAAUAUAAAAAGAAGAAACUUAAGUGAAAUAAUAAGUCAAAUUUGUAUGACAAGUUCACAUUAAAAUAUAGCUCCAUUUCUUCCUUUGAUAUAAUGACAAUAUAGGGCAACAAUCUUUUAGCCUAUAACGGUAAGAAAUGUGGCAUGCCUAUUGCUGGGUUGCGUUACUAUGUAACUAUGGUUAUGCCUGGGAUGGCUUAACUUGAAGAAAAUUACAUAAUGAUUUUCCCAGUUUACCUGGACAGUUUGAAAAGCCUCACAAUUGAUUAUGAAAAUCAGACCCUGUCUUUACUGAAAAUCAGUAGUUAAUUCCCUAAAAGAAUAGUUAGAAUGCCUAAAUUUAUAAAAAAGUAUUAGAAUUACUUUGUACCUUACCAAGUUUUGAAAUAAUCCUUUUCAUAUUCUGACCUAUGAAGUUUGGAAAACCUGCCAUCUGCUAUGUUGCCUACCCUUCCGGUUCAGCAAUUGUCUUACCAAUUCCAGAAAUGCAGUGCCAAUAACCCAAAGGUGAUAACAGGCCCAGAAGUUACAUUAAAACUUACUCUGACCAACAAAUAAAAGUAAUCAAGACAAUAAGCAAACUUAAAGGGAGAAAAUAAAAACAUUACAAAAAUGUCUUUUCAGACCUCCCCUAAGAUUGAGUUAAAGGUUUUCAGCCAGUAUUUUCAUAAGUAGUUACAGAUAAGCCUGCCAUUUAGGUUUAGUAACUAGAGUUUCUCCAGGGAAGAUCUUUAAUUCUGUACAGGAAGAAAAAAAAUUUCCCCCUUGGUAUGGGGGAUUGAACCUGAAGUCUACCACUGAGCUUCAUCCCUACCCCUUUUUAAGUUUUUUUUUUUUUUUUUUUAUUUUGAGGCAAUGUCUCACUAGAUUUCCCAGGGUGAUCUUGAACUUGCAAUUCUACCUCAGAAUCUUAAGUUGUUGAUACUACAGGAAUGGGGUGCCACACCCAACAAGAAAAAAGUUAUGUUAAGAAGACAGAAGAGUAUGUUUUCUACUCUUGGGUAACCCAACCAUCGUGUAUAUAAUGGAUUGACAAGUUUAGCUGCUGGGUUUAAUGUACCACUGAAGAUUAAUGUUCCAACAGCAAGAUUUGAGGUUCACAUAUCCAUAGUUAAUGAUUAACCAGGAAAGGUGAGCUGUCUUUAUCCUAUGAUUUUUGUUCUCAGUUUUUAGCAGAUUUGGGUAAUAAGGGAGCCCCAGAAAACAUUUCUUUGAGUACAUACAGUUGAAGCUAUCAAUGUAAGUAUGUUUUAUGAACAGCCAUUUUAGGAAAUUCAAACAUGCAGAGAUGCUCAAAUUGAAGUAAGUAGAUACAUAGUCAUAAGUCAAUUUGCUAGCAAAUCUUUGAGGGUGAACUUGCUGUUAAGGUUAAUCCUUUUAGUUGUAUCUUAAAAUCUUUUAUAAAUGGCUUUCUUGAGAUGAAAUUCCUCUGUCCAGCCAUUUAAUGUGUGCAAUCCACUGGGUGUUAAAUUUGUUCAUGGAGUUGUGCAACCAUUACUAUAAACAAGAAAACAAAAAGUUUUUUCUUUUUUUUUUUUUAAUCAUGCUGAAAUAAAAGUUAUCCAAGGAUUUUGUUUUUGCCUUAAGGAUAGUGGUGCAGGUAAUUUGACAAGAAUAUUUGCAUUAUAACUUCAAUACUGUAAACAGUUAUGUUCCAUAUAUGUAAGAUAUGGUCUUCACUGGUACAGCUUUUACUUGUUUACCUUUGGCAAUCUACAUACAAGAGAAUCUCAGUUCCAACUCUGAAUUCUGCACAUCUUUAAUGUUGCACGUUAUAUGUCUUUCUUGCCUUCCAGUCCCAUGGACGUCUCUCUUCAGUGUUCAUGUUUGGGUGUCUUUUCUAAAAUUGUUCUGCUUUUUCAUUUUGUUUUGUUUUUCUUCUGGGGUCUUCACAACCACUGUUAGAGAAAAUAGUUGGUAUCCAUUUGAACUAGGAAGUUUGACUUAAUCAGGACUUGUCUGUUCCUGCUUAGGUACUUUUUUUUUUUUUUUUUUUUUUGGUACCAGAGUUUAAACCCCAGAGGUGCUUAACCUCUGACCCACAUCCUCAUCCUCAGCCCUUUUUAUAUUUUAUUUAGAGACAUGGCCUCACUAAAUUUUUGAGGCUGACUUUGAACUUGUGAUCCACCUGCCUCAGCCUCCUGAGCCACUGGGAUUACAGGCAUGUGCCACCAUGCCCGGUUAAGCUACACUUAUGAACCCUAUUACUUAGGGGAGUAGAUAUCUGAUAUAGAUGAAGAAAAAUGCAUAUGGAGAAAAGCAAUUGAUAACAAAGCCCUCCUCAAAAAGUAGGGAAUCAGUGCUAGGGAUAUACCUCAGUUGGUAUAGUGCUUGCCUUGCAUGCACAAGGCCCUAGAUUCAGUUCCUAGCACCACCAAAAAAAAAAGUCAAUUUUAACAUAAUUAAGAAUUAACUUUUCCACUACUUGAAGUCAGUCUCACCUCAUUAUUUUCUAAGAGAUUUAACUGGCAAAAUAAACAGAAGUCAGCAAAAGAAGGGAUCAGCUUAGACAAGUUCAAUAUAAUUUUAAAAAUAUAUUAAAGGACAUUGCUUGUAACUAGAUCCUGGCAGUGUGACCCAGUAUGUUCAAAUAUGAUUUCUCAGGAGAUACACACAAGGAGGAAUACACUGGAGACUUGAAAAUGUUUGCCAGUUGAAUUGUUCUCUGCUGUAAAAUAAGACAUUUUGAACUACAAUGAAAGCUGCAAGACCUCAUAUAUCUGGAGUAAAUUCCCAGAUCUCAAAAAUUUAAGCUAAAGCCUAACUUUGUCCAGGCUAGCAUCUAUUCCUGACAAAUUUAAGACUGAAUCCAGCAGCCCUACCAUUUCAACUGUUCAAGAGAAAGGGAAAGGCAUGAAAAUAAUAAAUUUAACUGCUUAUAGCCAUGGGCCCAAAAAUACCCAGAUUUGGAGAACUAUUUCACACCACUAUUUCUAAGUUGAUUUGAAGGUAAUUAGUUCUUAUGUUAAUUAUUAACACCUCCUCAGUAGUUUGAGAUAAGAGGUAAGCUUCAUAUAAUUUGUUCUGAAUCUAAGUAGAGGCUCAAAAGUCAUAUAUAGUCCACUGUAGCCUUAAUUUUUAGGAUGUAUCAGAGCUAUGGUGGAGUUCACUUAAAAUGUUAUUGAACAGUUUAUAAGGGCUGGGAAUGUGGCUCAGUGGUAGAGUGCUUCCCUGGCAUGCAUAAGCCCUGUGCUCAAUUCCUCUGGUAACACUGGUAGGGACAUGUUAUUAAAAUAUUCAUGUACCAGUUGAGGUCAAAAUAAAACUACAGGCUACAUAUACUGUAAUCUUAAGAUCAUCUUCAUGUGGUCAUGGGAAGUUUUUUUGGUCAUUGAAUGAGGCUUUGAAUCUCAAUACUAUAAGACUUGGGCAUGUCCAUUAUGAGACUUUAAAUCCUAUAAGGAGAAAAUAUGCCUACUUCAUUGAGUUUUUUUGAGAGCUAAGGAAAUACAUGAAAAUGCUUAAUACUCAAAAGGCAGAAUGGUACAGUAUAUCUUAGAACAUAGACUACAGAGCCAGUUGGCCUGGAUUGAAAUGACAUUUCUGUCACUGUUGACUUUGAGCGAAUUUUUUAUGCCUCAGUUUCAUCUAAGUGGAAAUACUGAUGAAUAAAUGAGACUAUUCUUUUGAGACAAAAAUAACUUCAUGAGGGUUCACUGAAAAACAUU